GUUUACGCCGAACGCCAUGUCGCUUCAGAAGACCACCGGUGUCGAGUACUGGACGCAACGCUGGGCGAACCACAUCAUUCCUUUCCACAGACCUUCUGUUCACCCGUACCUUAAAGAAAUCGAAGCUGAAUUCACCACAACCAAGAAACUUCGUGUCUUCAUUCCUAUGUGCGGGAAAAUGCGUGAAAUUAAAUGGUUCUACGAGAGGGGUCACACAGUCUUUGGUGUAGAAAUCACACGGCAAGCCAUCGACGAUUUUUUCAAAGAAAAUGAGCUCACGGCCACAGAAGUUUAUUGCACAACCACGAAAUCUCCAGUCUUUCAG